UUGUUUUAUGCUUCGGUUAUUCAUCAACCGAAGCCUAUAACCUGUCAGUGUCCCCCAAUAUUACAAAAUUGCCACUUACAGCAGGAGUGGCACAGGACCGAGGCCUAUAACACUUUAUGCCUCGGGUGUUUGCAGAACCGAGGCCCAUCACUGUUCAUCUUCUCUCUCGCGAACGCAGCGUUCUCUCUUCGCCACCGUCGCCCUCCGUCGCGAUUGCGUCCUCUGUUGCCCUCCAUUGUCGAUUGCAUCUCCGUCCAUGAAACUAGCAUCGUCGGUAUUGCUCCGCCACCGAACAGCACACGAAAAGCAUCCAGAUUGUGCCACCGUCGCGCCCUCCAUCGCACCACUUCACCACAGUCCACCACAACCACCACUUGGCGAAACCUAAAGCCUAGAACCUUCUUCUUUUAUAGUUUGCCGGAAUCACCGAUGGAUCCUCAGCCUGAGCCGGUCGUGUUUAUUCCCUAAUUUCUUCUCACUUUGACCUAGUCGUGUUUUCCUGUUUUCUUUUCCGUAAAUAUAAAUGUGUGUUUAGGUUUUGAGAAUGAAGAGUGAUAUACGUGUGUGUGUGUAUAUGCUUCAGAUUGUGGCAUGGAGAAUACGCUGAAGCCUGGUGACGUUAUACAGUGCCGCGAGUGCAGUUACCGUAUCCUUUACAAGAAGCGCACUCGUUGCAAAAUUCUCUCUUCUUCACUUACGUUUGAAGCACCGCGUCCUCAACCACCACCUUAUCUGCAGUCAAAGCACAAUGAAUUCAACACUAGUUCAGAUGUUUCUAUCAUGACGGAUGUGCUGCAGGUCCCACACAAAUUCUUGUUUUGUGGUUCUAACUUCUCAGUCUCACAAGUUCCUCACGGGCGUGAGUGAGUGAACUUCGAAUAAUGGCAAGCAUGGCAAGAGGAAGAGCAGAUGUGAAUUCAAGAAAAAAAGGGGUGGUGGCUGUCUUGUUUUUGGUGAUUGUUGGUGUUUUCUUCUACUUUUAUUCUCAGAGUGGUGAUUCAUCCAUUGUGGACAGAGGACAGAGACAAUUUGGUUUGAAAGGGGACAGAGAUGUGAGCGAAUCUUCCUCCACAGUUGUUGGAGAAGAGGACACUGCUAUUCAUUGUGUUAAUGAAUAUGAAGCAUCAUGAAAAUGAUUUGUUAAUGGCUAGACACAAGUUUGGGCAUAUCCAUCGGAAGAACUACUUGACUUGGCAAAAAUUAUCAUAUCUAAUAUAAACUUUGCACAUUUUAGCUGCAUUAUUUUUAUGUACUGUACUUAAAAUAGUGUUUUUUGUGCAGUUAUCCAAUACGAGGCCCGCUGAAGAAAACUGUUGCGGCAUUGGCAUUUCCAUGAUUGAAAUGUGCUGCAUUGUAUUUGGUCUGUGAUAUUGCCAUGAUUUGAGUAAUUCUGCAGUUUGCAUCUUGAUGAUAGUUUUAGAAAACGAGAAAAGAAAACUAUUAAAAAGCAGUAGAAUAGGCCUCGGUUCUUAUCAUAACCGAGGCCAAAGACUCUGCGAAAAUUUUAAUUAAAAAAAAUUAUGUUCAGCCUAUGGCUUCGGUUCACUAUGACCCGAGGUAGAAAAUCAACCUUAUGGCUUCGAUUUUUUUACAACCAAGGCAUAAAAGGGACUAUAUGGCUUCGGGUGACAACCGAGGCCAAAAGGCAUCCCUUUUGGCCUCGUCCCAAUAUGCCUCGGUUCCAAACCCGAGGCAAAAUGAGGAAAAGAACCGCUGUCAAAUCACCUUCCUGUACUGGUGCAUGUUCUUGGUUCC